GGGGCGGGAGGGCGGCUCCGCUCCCCCCGCUGCGGUCUCGGUUCCCAUGGCGACACUUCCUGUGGCAGCCGAAAGCGGUAGUGCCGGGGAGCUCCGGGCCGGGCCGGGAGAGCCGCGCCGCGCCGCGCCGCCGGCCGGGGAUGCUGCGGGGCCGCGGGCCGCGCCGGUAGCGCUCUGGGCCGGGCGGUGCCAGGCAUGCAGGGCAAGGCCAAGCUGCUGCUGGUCCACAACGGCCGCAUGGGCCCAGCUGUGUCAGAUGGAGGUAAGGCUGCUCUUUGCUCUGGGACAGAAGGCCGGCAUCAUCUUCAGGGGAGGGGGAAGCCCACAGACAGCCUGGUGCCAGGGGCAAGGAGCCAGCAGAGAGCCAGGUCCUGUGUCAGCACAGGCUGUGCUGUGGGCGAGUGCAUGACUGGACCCCCACAGUGCUGGGCUGAGCCCUGUGCCAGGAACUCGCCAUACCCACCCCCCGUCCUUCCCGCACAGCCCCAUGUCGCCUGUCCCUCCCUUCUGGCUGCUCAGCUGACUUCCUUGGGUGCUGGAGCGGGAGGGAGGGCUUGGGGCUUCCUAGGGUAAGCAGAAACUGGGUACCAGCCAGCCCCGGGUUCCCUGAGGGAGUUUGUCUGUCUGUCCAUCUGUCUCAUUGUGCACCAGAUAUCUUAGCUGGCCCAUUCCCACAUCUCGGUCCCACUGCAGGAUCCUUCCAGCAUGAGGUGCUGGGGGCUGCUGUUCCCAUCUGCAGGGUGUGUGCACUUACCCUGUGUUUUGCACAGGAGGAGGAUGGGGAGCCCUGGCCACGUAGGAGCUUGCUGCCUCCUCUGCUCCUGCCAGCUUUGCCGGGAGAGCCAAACUUCCAUACCCUUACCUUCUCUUGCAAAUGACCCUCUGCUCCCAGUCGCUCACCACCCAAACCAUUUCAGAAGCUGGGGUUGCCCCUGGGAACUUCCGUCUUUUUGAUGGAAGGACUCAAUUUGAAUGCAUGGUCACCUUGGGUUUCCCCGAGGGAGGGUUUCCUUGAGGCUGGGAGCCAGGAAUGACACUUUCUGUGCCCUCUUAUCGCUGGGUUUGUUCCUUGUCGAGGCCUGAGGAAUGGAGAAGGCAGGUUCAGGCACCUCUACCCAUCUUCUGAGCUUCCCUCCACGCUGUGUGCCGGCCAUGUCCCCUUCCGCCCUGCUUUCCCUCCCUAUCUGGGUGCUUUCCCCCUGCAUCAGCUUUGUUCCCCCGGGAGAUGAGUCACAGAUGGAGUCACCGUGACACCCAGGGAGGAAGGCCAGUGCUGGCAGGGAGGGCUGUCACACCAGAAGGUGCCAGCUGUGGCAUCACAGCGCUUGAUCCGCUGAGGAUGCCGCUGUGAUACCAGCUCCUCAUGCUCCCUUCCUCAGGUCUCGCUGGCUCACAACAGGAUGGGGCAAAUGAACUCAUUGUAGAUAUGAAGGC
rnacentral:lncRNA from 1 species